CUUUCCCUCACUUUUUCUCAUUGCAUUUACUUCACUUUCUUCCUCUUCCUCUCCUUCUUCUUCUCUUCUCUUUUCUCUCUCUCUUUCUUGCAGCAUGAAAGGAAGGAAAAAGCCUUCAGAGGUGAAAGUCAGGCAUAAGUUUCUUCAAGGCAAUCUUGAAGUUAGAAUCAUGCAUAGGAACAUGAACAACAACAACGACACCAUCUGCAAGGCUUCCACUGGUGGAAUUUUAACCGAUUUUCUGUUUGGUGCUAAAAGCCUCUUUGUAACGGUGGCUUGUUCAUGUUGAUUUGGUGCUAUCCUACCUGAGCUUUUACUACUAUCUUCUUUUUUAUUUAAUCUUCUUGACCUUGUAAGACCUUUUCUUGACCUUGUAAGACCCUUCUUUAUAUUUGUUUAUCUAAAUUUUUAUAUUGUCCUAUACUCUGUAUCAAAAUUUUUUGAUAUAGAGUUUCAUAUUAGUUUUUUUCUGUUUUUGCCCAACUCAUAUUCUUUUUCCUUAUCUAUCCCUCCAGAGCUGUUUGCAUAAAACUAUUAUAUCUAUCCUCAAAAUCAUCCUGUUAAAGAGUAUUUAGAAGUCUCUCGAAGUUUAUGUAAGCAACAAAGACUUUUUGUUUUUCUUUGGUUCACGGCAGAGGAAGAAAAAAAAAAAUCCUUUGGGCUGUAUUUGAGGCAGAUUUAUAAAAGAGUACUUGAACCACCGGUGAAAACUCUCUUUCCUUUUGUUUACGAAAUAUGCCGUUGCAGGCAUCAGUUUCGUUGUUUUAUAUGUUGGCUGAGAAAGUGAAUAAAAGAAUAAAUAGUCCCUCAGAUCUCUGUAAAGACGUCCCCUCGUGACUGCUCUUAUGUACAAACGUAUGUCCACUGUAUUAUUGGAGGGUUCCGCCCUCAAUCCUCUCUCUCUCUCUCUCUCUCUCUCUCUCUCUCUCUCUCUCUAUUCACCUAAGGACCUUUUGUACCAAGAAAAGUUGUUCAUGAAAAAGCUGAUUACCCUACUGUGACAAGCCUUUUUUCCACAGCUCAUAAAUGUCAAGAUCAUACAGAGAUGUAAAAGGAAGAAAGUUUUUUUUUUUUUUUUUUUUUUAUAACUCACGGUUUCUUCUUUUAUACAAGACAAGUGGGAUAAUACAAUGUGAGCUCAAUUUGGCAGUUGAUAUGCCCUAACAGUGUACCCAUUUCUACAAAUAUACCAGAGCAUUAAGCGGCAAAAAUAUACUGCUUCCUCUCCAUUGUGGACUUUUGAGCUGAAAUAACACAUCUAGUUUCAUGCUCUGCCAAACCUAAUCCAGUUCAUGUGUACCAGAUGAUUAGUUCUGCAAAUCUUCCUGUAAUGUAAACUUCUAAUGUUCUACAGAGUGAAAUAAAAAAAAAAAAAAAGAAAA